rnacentral:lncRNA from 1 species
ACGAGUUGGUGGUCUUCUUAUUCUGGCCUGGAAUUGUUGGCAGUUUAUCUGGAUCAGCUACUUGGCGGGUGCAAGCCAGUAGAAGAGACAUUAGAGACGUGCCAUCUCCCAGAGAAUGAUGGAUGCGGACGACCGCAACACCUUGAGCAUCAGAUGUUUUGACAUUGAGAACAUGGAGGUCCCAAAGAGGUUUAGACUUGUCAAGACUGGAUUUGCUAAGGUUGUAUACGUAGUCCUCCACAAACUUGUCUGGUGAUCCCAUGUUGCGGUCC